rnacentral:rRNA from 1 species
AGUUCGGAUUGCAGGCUGAAACCCGCCUGUAUGAAGUUGGAAUCGCUAGUAAUCGCGGAUCAGCAUGCCGCGGUGAAUACGUUCCCGGGCCUUGUACACACCGCCCGUCACACCAUGAGAGUCGGGAACACCCGAAGUCCGUAGUCUAACCGAAAGGGGGCGCGGCCGAAGGUGGGUUCGAUAAUUGGGGUGAAGUCGUAACAAGGUACC